ACUGUUGAAGGGUGAACUGUCACAUGGCUCUGUGAAAAACAAUGACCAUCUCACCAGGAUCAGCAGAAAGCUGCAUGAAACGAAACUGACAUUGACUGGAAGAACUAGUGAACUAUGGCUUCAGUAUAUGUCUGUGGUUGAUAUAAUGAAAUGCUUUCUGGAGGUUGGUUUCUUUACCGGUCAGCUGUACAUAAGAUACUCCCAUAUCUUGCUGUAGCUGGACACAACUUAUAUACAAACUCCGCUAUCUGUUCCUGCAACAGAUGACCAAACUUGACAAAACCAACCCGGUUGUCGAUAAAAGCUUCACGGAUGGACACCAUGUCGUGAGAUGAAGCAACAGAUAGUAGGCUGGCAUUUCACCAGACUUUACUAUUGAGCAGACCCGGAUGCGCGGUGUAAAACAGCAGGUGGCCUUAUUCAAGGAGCAGAGAUAACCGAAUCGCAACAUACAAUGUGAGUGCUUUCCAUGCCAGCAUGUGCUGAUAUAAACAAUGUCAUGCAGGAAGUCACUGGAACUUGGCGACUUACGAGUGAUCAACACAUAAAGUUGGGAUGAACACAAACGGCAAAGGACACAGAGGAUAUGAUUGUGAUUAUACCCUACCUUUGGGAAAGAAAUCAAUUUGCUGACGGUCUCACCCUUAGAAACAUUGCUAUUGGUGUUAUCGAAAAUUCAGUUGUCAACGUUAACACGGCAAAGACAGUCGGUCUUAAAAUUCUCAAAGCCAAACAGCAGCAGAGAUUACCCUCGAGAAGAAGUCGCUGGGGAAAAACAUGUCUGUAACGUGAAUGGCAGUCCACACUCAGUCGAUCCGCAACCUCUUUUGCAACUUUUCAUAACAGCAGCCAAUACCAUCUCUGAUGACAUAAAAUAAGGCAGCACUGGCAAAUGAGCUUUGGAAACUUGUUCUUGUCAAUGGUAAUGCUCUCAGUCCGUCAGUACAAAAUGACGUACAGUUAGUAAUUGAUGAAGGCUCCUUACUUCAUCGACUGAAUACUAUACUAAAGCUGUUGUGAUUGGUGGAUACAUGCCAAGACACACAACAAAAUACAUGACCCACCUAAGGUGUGCCAAGGUAUGGACAGCAAAUGUUAUUCAUUUUGUGCCUGAUAUGAUGCUCAGAUCUACAAAAGAGCAUUUUUUUACCAAAGAGAAAACAAGCAGCGGUUCAUUUGUGCCUUUGGCAGUUCUUUGGAAAAUACAUGCACAAUCAUUUAUGCAAAAGCUGAUGCUGAUUUACAGAUCAUCAGUGCAACAACAGGGUGAACAAAAAGCAAUGUUACUGCAAUGGUUGGAGAAGACACUGAUCUGCUCAUUUUAAGACAGUGAUGGAACAACUCUUAAACUUCUUAGCAGAAUGAAAGCUGGAAGAAUCUGUCAUAAACAGAAUUGAGGAAAACAAGAUUGAUCCACAUGUGAUACUCCUAUUGGAAGACUCUGACCUAAAGAAUUAUUUCCCCACAUAUGGUGACCGCGUUCAGAUUAAAAACGUCUGCAGAAAACACGCAAGUAAUGUCGGGAAAAAGACAAGGAAGGCAAGCUCUCCGGAAAAAGCUAGGGGUAAGACGAAAGGGAGAUGAAGUAAGCAGUAAUGAAGACGAGAGCCCAGAUGAUACUGAAGAUGCUACCCACAUGUCCAGGGGUUGAAAUUAAAAAAAAAUUACCACUAUCCCAAAGGAAUAGUGAAUUUCAAAAAACACUAUUCCAUCUAAAAAUGUACUAUCCGUUCAUUAAUGUAUCACUAGUUUUCCUGACUGUGCUACGUCGCCCUGAACAACAUUGCGUAACGAACAAUUGUUUAUAAACCAGUCUAUGCAUUACUGCAUACUAGCUGGAAUUACAAACGAACUCACUCCAAACAUUGGUCUCGAUCAAAAAGACAUUUAUUUUGUACCGGUCUUAGUAGCGCGAGGAUUUGUUCUGCAGAAAAAUGUAGCUGUAGAAAAAGUGUAAGCGAGAUAGUCACAGGCGAUUUUCGGUAUUCUGUGCUUUAUUUUCCCCUUCAUGACGGAAUAUUGGAAGAAUUGUUUUACUAUUCCGUUUCAAAAUUUACUAUUUGCGGAAUAGCGUAAAAUUCUACUCCUGAUGUCUAGAUUUGGAAAUAAAAAUGCAAAAAAAGCUAUACAAUGCAUCGAACUAAGAUGACUUCAGAAAGAACCUAUCACGAAAACUU